rnacentral:tRNA from 1 species
UAUUUAAAUAGUUUAAUAAAAAUAUUGAUUUGUGGUGUCAAUGAUAAGAAUUUAAUUCUUUUUAAAUC